UCCCUGGUAGUAUAUCGGUUAGUACACGCGCCUGUCACUACUGCUGACGCGCGAAAGCUGGGUUCGACUCCCAGCCAGGGAG